AUGAACGCUGGCGGCGUGCCUAAUACAUGCAAGUCGAGCGAACAGAUGAGGAGCUUGCUCCUCUGACGUUAGCGGCGGACGGGUGAGUAACACGUGGAUAACCUACCUGUAAGACUGGGAUAACUUCGGGAAACCGGAGCUAAUACCGGAUAAUAUAUUGAACCGCAUGGUUCAAUAGUGAAAGACGGUUUUGCUGUCACUUAUAGAUGGAUCCGCGCCGCAUUAGCUAGUUGGUAAGGUAACGGCUUACCAAGGCAACGAUGCGUAGCCGACCUGAGAGGGUGAUCGGCCACACUGGAACUGAGACACGGUCCAGACUCCUACGGGAGGCAGCAGUAGGGAAUCUUCCGCAAUGGGCGAAAGCCUGACGGAGCAACGCCGCGUGAGUGAUGAAGGUCUUCGGAUCGUAAAACUCUGUUAUUAGGGAAGAACAAAUGUGUAAGUAACUAUGCACGUCUUGACGGUACCUAAUCAGAAAGCCACGGCUAACUACGUG
rnacentral:rRNA from 1 species